CAGAGAGCAAAGGGCCGGGCUCUUACUAUUGGGGCGUCUCUUCACAACCCCGGUGCUUCGUGCCAGGUUCCUUUGUCCGGCUCCUGCAGGAGUUACACCCUGGGAAGAGCUUUGUGUGACCUGUGUUUUGAGGUUAAAUUCUGGCUGGAUUGGGGUGCGCUCUGCAUCGGGGUGACCCCACACCGUGGCGGGGGUCAGCUCGUGGAGACCCAUCCCAUGCUGACCCGUCCUGUCCCGCGCAGCCUGGCCGGCUCUGCCCAGACAAACACUGACUCAUGCUGUUAUUCUGUCCCACCCUGGGCACAGCCGGCUUUUUUUAAGGCUGCCUUUUCCAGCUAUUCCUUUUUUUUUUUCCUGUUCACACGGGUGGGGGACGAAGCUUUAGCUGGUAUUGCAGGGAGCAGCCGGGGGUGCCGAAGGCUGCCAGGCGCGGGGGUCCCGGCGGAGCGAGGAGGCGAGGGCAGCUCUGCAGCACUGAAGCGGGGAUGUGUCCGGGUGCCGUGGGUGCAGCUCCGUCCCUAGACCCGUGCGGAGGGAGCUGCCGUUGUGCCGUGGGACGUUGAGCCGCCGCGCCGAGAGGAGAGGUGAGAGGCUGGGACCCACCACCGGGUGCCUGGCAUCGGUGGGGCACCUGGUGGGCUGCAAUGAUGGAUUUUCAGUCUGAUUUGCUGAGUGCUCGGGAGAAAAAAUAGAGAAGAGCCAUAAUAUUUUGCAGAUUGGAAGGUCUCAAAGCUGUUAAUGAGCUGUUAAUAAGCAUUGGCCUAGUUUUUCCCCUGGAAGUAGGCGGAUAAUAGACAUUUUUUUUUAGGAUGAGGCUACAGCCACAUCCUGGUGGAGACAAGGGACUGAAUCAUGUCCUGUGGCGCAGGGAGCUGAUGUCUCUUGGUCAGGGGGUGGAAACCCAGUGAGGAGCCACGGGAGCAUCUUCCUCCAGGGCCAGCGACGGGGUCCCCACAGGAUCCCCUGUGCCCGUGUGCUCUGUCCCCUCUCUCCAUGGCCCCUUGUGCCUGUGCGUGCUGGGGCGAGGGCAGCGUCCCUCCCAUGGGCUGUGCUCACUGUGAUUAACACCAUGUGUUUGCUCAGCAGAAACACACACAGAAACAUCACAGAAUCACAGAAUUGUCUAGGUUGGAAAGGACCUUGAAGAUCAUCUAGUCCAACCAUUAACCCAGCAUUGGCAGUUCCCAACUACACCAGAUCCCUCAGCUCUAUGUCAACCCUACUCUUAAACACCUCAAGGGAUGGGGACUCCCCCCCUGCCCUGGGCAGCUUAUUCCAAUGCCUAAUAACCCGUUCUGUAAAGAAAUCCUUCCUAAUAUCUAGUUUAAACCUUCCCUGGUGCAACUUGAGGCCGGGACUAACCAGG
rnacentral:lncRNA from 1 species